UACGAAGGUCCCAAGCGUUAUCCGGAUUUAUUGGGUUUAAAGGGUGCGUAGGCGGGUUAUUAAGUCAGUGGUGAAAGCCUGCAGCUUAACUGCAGAAUUGCCAUUGAUACUGAUGAUCUUGAGUAUGAUUGAGGUGGGCGGAAUGUGUCAUGUGGCGGUGAAAUGCUUAGAUAUGACACAGAACACCGAUUGCGAAGGCAGCUCACUAAGUCAUAACUGACGCUGAUGCACGAAAGCGUGGGGAGCAAACAGG
rnacentral:rRNA from 1 species